rnacentral:rRNA from 1 species
GAUGAACGCUGGCGGCGUGCCUAAUACAUGCAAGUCGAGCGAACGGACGAGAAGCUUGCUUCUCUGAUGUUAGCGGCGGACGGGUGAGUAACACGUGGAUAACCUACCUAUAAGACUGGGAUAACUUCGGGAAACCGGAGCUAAUACCGGAUAAUAUUUUGAACCGCAUGGUUCAAAAGUGAAAGACGGUCUUGCUGUCACUUAUAGAUGGAUCCGCGCUGCAUUAGCUAGUUGGUAAGGUAACGGCUUACCAAGGCAACGAUGCAUAGCCGACCUGAGAGGGUGAUCGGCCACACUGGAACUGAGACACGGCCCAGACUCCUACGGGAGGCAGCAGUAGGGAAUCUUCCGCAAUGGGCGAAAGCCUGACGGAGCAACGCCGCGUGAGUGAUGAAGGUCUCCGGAUCGUAAAACUCUGUUAUUAGGGAAGAACAUAUGUGUAAGUAACUGUGCACAUCUUGACGGUACCUAAUCAGAAAGCCACGGCUAACUACGUG